AUUGAACGCUGGCGGCAGGCCUAACACAUGCAAGUCGAGCGAGCGGCGGACGGGUGAGUAAUGUAUGGGGACUGCCCGAUAGAGGGGGAUAACUACGGGAAACGGUAGCUAAUACCGCAUACUAUCGGAUAACCCAUAUGGGAUUAGCUAGUAGGUGAGGUAAUGGCUCACCUAGGCGACGAUCCCUAGCCGGUCUGAGAGGAUGAUCAGCCACACUGGGACUGAGACACGGCCCAGACUCCUACGGAGGCAGCAGUAGGGAAUAUUGCACAAUGGACGCAAGCCUGAUACAGCCAUGCCGCGUGUAUGAAGAAGGCCUUCGGAUUGUAAAGUACUUUCGUUCGUGAGGCGUUACCGACAGAGGAAGCACCGGCUAACUCCGUGCCAGCAGCCGCGGUAAUUC
rnacentral:rRNA from 1 species